rnacentral:rRNA from 1 species
GAUGAACGCUGGCGGCGUGCCUAAUACAUGCAAGUCGAGCGAACAGACGAGGAGCUUGCUCCUUUGACGUUAGCGGCGGACGGGUGAGUAACACGUGGGUAACCUACCUAUAAGACUGGGAUAACUUCGGGAAACCGGAGCUAAUACCGGAUAAUAUUUCGAACCGCAUGGUUCGAUAGUGAAAGAUGGCUUUGCUAUCACUUAUAGAUGGACCUGCGCCGUAUUAGCUAGUUGGUAAGGUAACGGCUUACCAAGGCAACGAUACGUAGCCGACCUGAGAGGGUGAUCGGCCACACUGGAACUGAGACACGGUCCAGACUCCUACGGGAGGCAGCAGUAGGGAAUCUUCCGCAAUGGGCGAAAGCCUGACGGAGCAACGCCGCGUGAGUGAUGAAGGUCUUCGGAUCGUAAAACUCUGUUAUUAGGGAAGAACAAACGUGUAAGUAACUGUGCACGUCUUGACGGUACCUAAUCAGAAAGCCACGGCUAACUACGUGCCAGCAGCCGCGGUAAUACGUAGGUGGCAAGCGUUAUCCGGAAUUAUUGGGCGUAAAGCGCGCGUAGGCGGUUUUUUAAGUCUGAUGUGAAAGCCCACGGCUCAACCGUGGAGGGUCAUUGGAAACUGGAAAACUUGAGUGCAGAAGAGGAAAGUGGAAUUCCAUGUGUAGCGGUGAGAUGCGCAGAGAUAUGGAGGAACACCAGUGGCGAAGGCGACUUUCUGGUCUGUAACUGACGCUGAUGUGCGAAAGCGUGGGGAUCAAACAGGAUUAGAUACCCUGGUAGUCCACGCCGUAAACGAUGAGUGCUAAGUGUUAGGGGGUUUCCGCCCCUUAGUGCUGCAGCUAACGCAUUAAGCACUCCGCCUGGGGAGUACGACCGCAAGGUUGAAACUCAAAGGAAUUGACGGGGACCCGCACAAGCGGUGGAGCAUGUGGUUUAAUUCGAAGCAACGCGAAGAACCUUACCAAAUCUUGACAUCCUUUGACCCUUCUAGAGAUAGAAGUUUCCCCUUCGGGGGACAAAGUGACAGGUGGUGCAUGGUUGUCGUCAGCUCGUGUCGUGAGAUGUUGGGUUAAGUCCCGCAACGAGCGCAACCCUUAAGCUUAGUUGCCAUCAUUAAGUUGGGCACUCUAAGUUGACUGCCGGUGACAAACCGGAGGAAGGUGGGGAUGACGUCAAAUCAUCAUGCCCCUUAUGAUUUGGGCUACACACGUGCUACAAUGGACAAUACAAAGGGCAGCGAAACCGCGAGGUCAAGCAGAUCCCAUAAAGUUGUUCUCAGUUCGGAUUGUAGUCUGCAACUCGACUACAUGAAGCUGGAAUCGCUAGUAAUCGUAGAUCAGCAUGCUACGGUGAAUACGUUCCCGGGUCU